CAGCAGCAGGGCAGGCCGCGCGCCCUUCCCCUCCCUACAGCCAUGGCCCAUGGCCAUCUCCUACCUCCAGCCCCUGCCCUCCCCAUGCUAGCCAGCCCCGGCCUCCCCUGCAGCGAGCAAGCGCAGCCCGUCGGCAAGCCCUACUAGUCUGCAGCCUGGCCAGGCAAAGACCCAUGCGUCGCGGCCAGCCCAGCAUCCCCAGCAAGCACCAUGGCCGAGCCCCUGCUGUUCACGUGAGGGAGGUUGAAGAUGACCCUUGUCUCUAUGACGAGUGGGCCCAGGUGACUAGUUCAGGCGUGCACAAAUUUGCAGAUUUUUGUGUGGUUUUCCAUAAUUCAUAUCUCGAGUUUUAGAGCCCCUAAAAUCGUGAAACUUGUUUUGUUGUCUUCUUUAUGAAAUGCUCUAACUAUUGGAUCUAUAUUUUGAUAUGUUUUAGUGGAAAAGUUUUGCUGUAUAAAUUCGUAUUUAAAAACUGGUUUAGAGAAUAAACGAACUUGCUUCUCUCCAUAAUUUUAUUUAUAAAAAUCCAAAAAUGAUGAAACCUGUUUUGUUAGUUAGAUGUUGUCAUAUUCCAUCAAGGAAAAAUAGAAAACUCAUAUGUUGUUCACUGUUUUCUUGGUGUGCUAAUUAAAUCAUGUUAAAUAGGAAAAAGAAGAUUUAUUUGCUUAUUAUUUUUGGAUCUGUAGCUUUAGUGCUCCAAUUGGGUUGAAAUUUUUACAGUAUACUCUUGGUGUGAUGCUUGAUGACUGGUAAACAUUUCAUGAAUUAUUGUGCAUGUAUGAUUAAGUUAGUGAUUUAACUUGUUUAAUGCACCUUAAGUAGUUUUAAAUGAUUUAAAAAUAAUGUAUAGAUGCAAAAAUGUAAAAUGGUGUUCCACUGUCCUUGCAUGAUAUUAUAGUAGCCUAAUAAAACUUAAUAUGGUCAUGAAUCCACAGAAAAUAAUUAGUUUUAGAUUUAACUUGCUCUCACAUGCUUUAUUGCAUUGACAAUUUAUUAUUUUUGUAUUAAAUAAAAUAUAAAACCUGGGCAUGUCAAAUUUAUAUAUUAGUCAUGAUUUGUUAUUAUCUAUGCCUCAUAAAAAUUUCAGCUCCAAAUUAGAUAGUUUCAUAUGUUCCUAAAUGACACAUGUUUUAUAAUUAUAAGAAGAAUUAGAGACAAGUUAGAAGUAAACAAAAGUGUGCAUGUUUCUUGAAAUGCUUAAGUGUCUCGGGUGCACGCCACCAUAUGGUUGUAUGUGAGACAAGGUUAUGCGCAUGAUGAGUUUAGUAAAAAUCCAUCGGUGUCACUAGUGUUAAGUUGAGAUUUAUUUGCGCAUGGAAAGUAAUCGUCUGUUUAAUACUUAGAACUCUUUGUCAAUAGUAGAAAUUGUUUUGGCUUAUGUAGAGAGGUGAUAACAUGCUGUAAGUAGCCAUCACUUCCUCUAUAAUUAUAAGUCGAGUCUAUAUGCGUUAGGCGUUCCUUAAAUUGUGCUUCACAAAUAAGUGUAUGAUUGUGUUUAUGACUUGAAUAGAUGUCUUCGAGUGAACUAAUAGGUUCCUAAGGCAAUUAUGUGUAAGGUGUUUAUAGUGACGCUUUAUCCCGAAAGGUGUUAAGUCUGCGCAUAAAUAAGAGAUAAGUGUAUUUUGUGUAGUGUGGAUUGAUUUUGAGUGCAUGUGUCGCAAGAAAAGAAUUAGUGCACAUAUAGGCGAUGAAUGGGUGUGAUGAAAUGGUGACAUGCCUUUGUAGUCAUCAUGUCGUCGGUUGGUGACCUAACUGAAGGUCGUAGAAAAAGGUCGAUUAUCUAUGUGUUAUUAUUGUCACCUUGCGGUUCUGCAUGAACUGCAAUGUGAAGUAGUAGGCUCUCUAUGUGAUGCUAGAUGUCUAGGUAGACUUUCGUGAAUUGUGGUGCUCGGACCGUCGAGAUGAAGGUUAAGUCGGUCGAUGCUGAUUAAGUAGUUAAAAUGAUUAAUGGAACAAUCAUGGGGUUAAAACUAGAAACUAGUGUUCUUGCACCCGUUUGAGAUGUUGUAGCCAAAUUGCGUAUGGUUAUGGUCGCGGAUGAAAAGUAGUAGUGCUCAUGUGAUGUCUAAUUUAAAACGCAAAUUGUUGGGUGAUUAUCGUGAAGAAUGCGUUGUUAAUUGGUUGUAGUAAUUUUAGUGCACUAAUGACUUGAAUAAAAUUUAUAAGUCGAAUUGUUGGUUCUAAAUUGAUUGUCUUAACUCGAACAAAUAGUAAAGUGUUAGAAUAAUUCAAGUAUCUAGAACGCGGCAAUUCUUGAAUUGUAUAGGAGCUGAAAUUUAUUAAUUGCUGUUUUGGACUGCACGCAGUGAUUUCCCCGUGUUGUAUGUUUGAUGAACUAAAUUGUGUUUUCUGUAGAUAUGUGCUAUAGAAAAGUGGUAGAUAACUUUAUUAUCUUGAUGGUGUUAAAAUUUGACAGCCAUAGGUCUGACGGUUUAGGAGUUAUGCUUUUUACAAAUUCAGUAACUGAAUCUGUCCAAAUUCUGUACAGAUUUCAGAAACUGUAUUGUUUGCUUAAUUUAAUGUUACAAUCAGUUCAUGGUCGUUAUAAGAAAGUUGUAGAUGCUUUUCUUAUCUUGCUUGUGUUAAAAUUUCAUAACCACAGGCCUGACAGAUUAAGAGUUAUGAAUUUUACAAACUACUUGCUGUGUUCUGUCCACCGUCAGAACAGAUUUCGAAAACUGUGCUGUUUGAUUUAAUUAAACAUUGAAUCACUUCUUAGUGAUUAUAAAAGUUAUGUAGUGCUUUUGCUGAGAUUUCCAAAAAGUCUUGGAUCACUCUUUUUGGUGGUCUGAAGAUUAAGUUAUGAAUGUUUAAAGUGAGAAGACUGAAUCUGUCCAGUUCUGGACAGCAACGUCUUAUAGUGUCUUUUAUCCUUAAUUAAAUACUGAAUCACCUUGAGAUGAUUAUAAAUGAUGUGUGGACAAUUUUAUUAUCUUUCCAGAAAGUCUAGGAUCAAUUUAUUUGGAUGUCUGAAUCUUUAGUUGUGAAUUUUGGAUGUGGCAAUUCUGAAUCUGUCCAAAUCUGGACAGAGCUGUUGUGUUAGCACUGUUUGACCUUGCUAAGUGUUGAAUCAUGUUAAGAUGAUAAUACCAAAGUUGUAAAGCACUUUUCAAGCUUUCUAGAAAGUCCUAGUUUACUAUUUUUGGUUAAAUAUCUUGUGAGUUAUGACUGAAACAAGUGGCUGUUGUAGUGUUGUCCAAAAAUUCUGCUAGUGCGCUUUUGAUUGUUUAGUUCACCCUUGUCGCUAAAAAUGUUUGGUUUGCUCUUAAGUAAUGUAGACUUGCCAUGGUUAAGCUAGAGAUGACAUGUGUGUUUUGUUUUAUAUGUUCCUUUCUCUAGUGAUUGCGAUAUAGGAGUUCUGUAGUUAGUGAUGCCUAUGUCGUAUCCAAGCUUACGUUGUCUUGAUUGGACUUGUGUGGUCGGUGAUGCUUUUGCGCGAUCAAUAGGAGAACUAAUGAAAAGCCGUAUCCAAACAAAUAAAAUGCGCGUACCUGUAAUGUCAUAGUUGUGUUGCGUAAAUAAAUAAAAUGUUGUUGUCUUUUUAAAGGUGUUAAUAUUGGACGACGAUAAAGCGUAGAUAACUAAAACUAACGUGUGUUGUCUACGGUGUCGUACAAUUAAAUGUUAGUUCACUACUGUGCAUUUGAAUAUCUUGUGCUACUUUCAUUAUAUUCAUACGUAUGCAUAUUGCAUCUCAUUUAGGACCGAGAGAUGAUCGUGCAAGUGAUGUGGUGCCACCCACAAGAUGCAGUUGGUGGACGACCCAAGGAAGGAUGGACAUAACCAGUGGAUGCUCGCCAAGCGAGUACCCCCAGCAAACACUAUCUAAGUGUCAAUUAAAGGCAAGCCCCGGUUUUAUGCAUAACCUGUUAUUUAUGCUAUUUUACUACACUUAUUGAUUGUAGGAUUGAAUGUGCACUUAAGUGUAGGAGUUGUGUGAAACCCUAGUUGCAUGAUCUCAGGAAUCCUGUUGAGAUGAAUACUAGUAUGCUAGGUCGAGUAGCUGCUUUAUUAAUUAGGAUCUCGGUAGAAGUCGAGUGAUUUUUCUAGCACUCGCGCGAGGUCAGGAAUUGGCUGUAUCCACUUUCUUAUCAUAUUGAUGUUGGUUUGUGGGCAACAAUCCAUGGGGAUUGGUUGUCUAUGGGAUGAAAAUUGGAAUAAGGAUUAAGGUGUGGUACCGUGUGUCAAGCGUUUGAACGUACUAAACACAUACCGAGAAAUAUGGUAAAUCGGUAAGCCUAGUACCUGAUUGAACCUGGCAGUAGACUUUGCCCCUCACGAACCUGAGACGUGGUCUCCCAUUCCGGUUAUGGUGGGUACAAGUGCGGUCACUGCACGACGGCAGUCGGGGUCAGUGAGGCAUUGUACGCCAAGGCGGUGAGCCCUGAUCUGCUGACUGGGAAUCGAUGGGGACGGUUGAUGUGUGUGGGGACGGAGUGCCCCUGCAUGUCGUGUGUUUAGGUUUACCUUGCAAGGCUUAAAAACUCGAUUCGAAUCGUCUGCUUCUCGCAGCUAAUGAGACUGCUUGAUCCAUGCUGCUACAUUGAGUAAUAAGUGGAAAUGAGGUGACUGGCAAAAUGAUGUUGAUUGAUAAAAUGUUUGAUACCAUGUAUGAAUAGCUAGGUACACAUCUAGUAAAAAGGAUCAUACUAAAACUUGAAAAGCUAAAACUUGAUUUUAGACUCAGCUAGUGCUUUUGGCAAACCAAACCCCUCAGCCAAACAGCUGCAUGUCUAGAGGUAGAGGAGUAGACUCCUCACACCGGGUAAGUCUAGCUGAGUAUUAGCAUACUCAGCCUUGCUUGUGGCACCAUUUUUGCAGGUACUCCUUAGGAUGAUUGGUUGCUGGUGUGACUUGGCCUCCAUCCCUGCCACCGGGAUAGACGGUCGAGUGGGUUACUGCUCCCGCAGGAGAGGACCAGGAGGAGUAGCGUGGCCAUGCUUCGCCACGUUAUUCGGUUCUUCUCCGUUAGUUAUUUCCGCUGCAUUAAAAUUUAUGGUUAUCAUUCCUGAAACUCCGAUAAUGUAAUCACUAAUGAUACUUAUUAAAUUUGUGGUAUUAUGUUUUAUUGUAUUUCUCUGUGCCUCACCUUCGUGUGAGCUAGUGGUAUUCGAUCCUGGAUAAGUGGCUUUAUCGGACUAGAUCCGAGGGACUGGCGUUUUAUUCCGGUUUAAGUGUGGUCUAGCCUCUAAGGCGGGACUUAGACACUUAAGUUGGAAUAAUUCGGACGGUUCCGCCACAGCUGGUAUCGGAGCGAAUACCAGUACAGAGAAGUCAAUAAGUCAUGAUUACCAACCUUUUCUAAAGUAAAACUUGCUAGAAACCAAUGUUGGAUAGAUCGUCAGGACGAUAAGGAUAGACCUAGGACGUGAAGCCUUAGGAAAUAGAUGGGUAGCUAGGUGGCUAAUUAUAUAGGCCAUAAGGCUACUACUACUAUUAAUAGGGAUGUUGUAGAAGCACCCGAAAAAUUAGUUAGGUCUGAGAAGACGACUAGAAUGAGCAUGCAUCAUGAUUGUCGCAUUAUAAUUGUCUCUUGUGCACCAACAUGCUUCUCUCACCUUUAUUCCAAUAAUAAGAACUUUUGAAUAAUGCGCUGUACUGCUAUGUUAUGGAAACUAUAAGAAAUGUUUUACCUCAUGUCAGAUUAGGAAGUCUUGCUAGGUUGUCUUAUGUGUUUCUCUUGCCUUGCUAUCUAGGUGGUAUUGUAAAUGUUCAACCUUUUUUUCAAAAAAAAAUUGUUGCUUGUUCUGUUCAUAAAAAGACCCCCACCCAAACAACCUUGAGUUUAGCAAGUGAAGCCUCAAAAAAAUAUGCUUGUGUGGGUGUUUUCUAACCUUUGUGUGUUUUACACUUGAAAUUGCACCUGCACAACUUAUAGACCACCACAACUUGACCGCUAGACCAACCCAAGUCUCCUUGUGCACUUGUUACGUCAAAAAAAAAUUGUUGUUUGGUGUCUAGUUGCGCAAACCCUAUCAAGGCCAUGUUCUUUCCGUAAAUCCUUAAUCCAAAACUUCAUAGCAUUUCUGUUGAUCAUCCUAGCUGAUCCUAUUUGCCUACCUCUCCUUUCGCUUGGAUCUGGUAAUCUUUCUCCUUGUGAAUCAUGUUGUGGCUUUAUCAUCCCAAUCUUUGAAUCCUUUAAUGAUUCUGCCCUAUUAUCUGGUUAUCUGCUAUAACCCGUUCUCAAGUAUCGAAUGUUGAUCUCGCCUAAAUCUCUCAUUUCUGAUCAUUCUCAUACCCCCUUCUCUGAGGAUCAUGACGUUGUUUUAUCGAUUUUAUCUCUAAGCAGUGGAUCCAUUUGGUUCAAUGGAUUAUGCUAUUGACUUUAGUUCUCUCAUGUCUCUAAGAGCUUAUCAAUCUUGAUCUCAUGGUUGGUUCCUCCUUAUAUUAAAUAUCGUAUCAAUCUUUGGCUGAUAACCCCUGUGAUGAUCAUAAAAUAGUUCUCUGAGUUGAAGAAAAUUCUCAUGUGAUGCUCUUUUGCUAACAAUCUUGCUUCAACUCUGGUCACAUUCUUGUUUUCUGAGCCAUACUCUCAUGGGCUCCAACUAUCAGUGCUAUGUGAAUUUCUUAUUGGUUACGUUUGGUAAUGGUGUCAUGACUAACGACUGAUGGUGCCGCGACGAAACCGAGAGCCUACUAUGGUGCACACAUAGUUGAGCUGCUCGGCACGCGCCGGUAUCACGGUUAAUAGUCAUGGUCCAUUACGAGACUAUACUGAUGUGCUAUCUUUUGUGGAUAUUCUCUCAAAGUGAUCGCUGCAUUUUGUCUCAAUAUGUCGCGAUGUUCCACCCAAAUCUAUCUUCAGUAUCUUGUCAGAUCCCAUCUCAUGAAUUUGCAUCUAUCUCCAGCCGAGGAGUUACAUGCUUCUCCACCCUUGAAGAUCCUCAUUCGAAUCUCGAGACGAGAUUCUUUUAAGGGGGGAAGGCUGUGACACCCCAGGUGUCAGUUUCGUGUUAUGUCGGGAGAUUUAUCCUAAUCUCGGAUGCUCCGUGAAAAUUUCUAUUUCUCGAUCGCAUCUAUCUCCAUUUAUCAAGUUACUCAUGAACGAUUCACCAAAUUUGGAAUUAUUCGAUCUCAAGAACAGCCAAAUUUGGAGCCUAUUAAAACUUUUGUUUCUCGGAGCAAACACAAAUUCGAAAGUCAAUAUCAUCUCGCAACUCCCGUCCAGACUCAUUUAUUCGGACUCUCGAUAGUUGUUAUAUUAUCCAAUCGGUGUCCGAAUCCUCUUUCUCGAUAGUCGGUCUACGUCCAAAUACUUAAUCUGAAUCCGCAUUCUCCAGCGGAAUCUCUGUUGUGCCAAUCUCUAAUUAAUUCUUAUGCAAAUCGACUUGUUUCUCUAUAUCACAAUUCCUCUCUAUCUAUCAAGCGUAUUUUAAAAAAUUCUAGAAGUUUAAAGCCAAUACUCACAUGAAAAGAUAAAUCCUAUACACGCUUGAAACGGCUCGUCUGAACAAAUGCAAAUUUUGAAAUUCAACAAAACCUUGUCAUCUUGCUCAAACAACUCUAUAUCAACUCUACAAUAAAAGUUAUUAAGGGUUCAUGUAGAGAAAAUGCCAAGAAAAUAUCGAGAAAAUACUUCAAUUGCUUUAAAAAUAUAAAUUGAAGCUUUAUAACUAUACUACUUUGACCAAAGUGAAACUUUAAUUUAUAUUCGAGAUAUGAGGUUUGACCUUUAAUAAAAGUUGCAGAACAUGUGAUAUACAACAAAUGUUAUAAUUAAACCAAGCCUUGAUUCAAUACCUAAUUGUCCCAAAUGGUGCCCUCAAUUUGGAUUAAAAAUCUGAUUCAGGACUUGAAUUUUCCUAAGUCUGAAAUCAAUGCCGAUCGGGUUGACAUCUCGCGUUCUCUAAAUUUUGCUAAGCAACUCGAGUUUCACCAAAUAUAAAAGUUGUUAAUAACUAAAAGGGGCACAACAUAUUAAAAGAUGGCCUUCAUCCGACCCCAUUUGACAAGGUUUGACAUCCAUUCUUUAGGUAAAAUUUACCACCUGACAGCACCAACUUGGAAGCUAAAUAUCUCCCAAACCGUGGUUCAAAUGGCCGAGCAUCCUCUAUCGAUUUCGAAGAGCAUUGUGCGGGAAGCAACUUUGCUACAGUGUCCAAGAUCCGGUUCUAAACAGAAGGCGCCAAAAACUGCUGCCCAACGUCGCUACAGUGAUGUCUGCCACCUGUUUGUUGCUUUGCUUCUAAGGAAAUCAAGCUCUGCAGCCUUGCCGCCCAUGUCCUCCAAUAGAUGAAGCUCGCCCCUUCUAUUUAUACACCCACCCUCUCCCUCUCUUCUCCUACACGCCACCCCCUUCUCCUCUGUUUGAAUGCAGCAGCAGGGCAGGCCGCGCGCCCUUCCCCUCCCUACAGCCAUGGCCCAUGGCCAUCUCCUACCUCCAGCCCCUGCCCUCCCCCUGCUAGCCAGCCCCGGCCUCCCCUGCAGCGAGCAAGCGCAGCCCGUCGGCAAGCCCUAGUAGUCUGCAGCCUGGCCAGGCAAAGACCCAUGCGUCGCGGCCAGCCCAGCAUCCCCAGCAAGCACCAUGGCCGAGCCCCUGCUGUUCACGUGAG
rnacentral:lncRNA from 1 species